rnacentral:misc_RNA from 1 species
CGAUGAGCUGACGCCGGUGAACAACCGCGCUGUGGCUUCCAUCGACGGCGUCCGCGACAAGCUGCGCGUGCUGCUGGUGUCCGGUGAGCCGCAUUCCGGCGAACGCACCUGGCGCAACCGUCCGACGCCAGCGUCGAUCUUGUGCAUUUCACCAUUCUGCGCCCGCCCGAGAAACAGGACGGCACCCCGAUCAACGAACUG